CAGGUCACGCCCUCCUGACACUGACCUGAGACAUCCAGACACCAGGUCCCCACCACUUCUUGAGGACAUAGCCUGGAAGUCAACAUGUCACUGCUGCAAGCUGUCACCUUCCUCUCCUUCUGGGCUGUUGGACUUGGAUUGUCAAAGGUGGAGCAGUCCGAAAUAUCGGUUUCUAAAGAAAUAAAGAAAAGUGUUAACAUAAAUUGCAAGAUAUCCAGCACAAGUUUUGAUACUGAAGUCAUUCACUGGUACUGGAAGAAACCAAAUAAGACUUUGGAGCAUCUGAUUCAAGUUUCUUCAAUAAAGUCCCCAGCUCGAGGUUCCUUGAAUGGAAAGGGCAACAAAAUUGAGGCAAAAAAGUAUUCUCAAACUUCGUCUUCAACCCUGAAAAUGAAUUUCUUAGAGAAAGAAGAUGAAGCUAUGAACUACUGUGCCUGCUGGAUGAACACAAUAGAAUUUCCGAAAAUUUUCGGUGGUGGAACAAAACUCAUUGUCACAGAUAAAAGCUCUGAUGUAGACAUUUCCCCCAAGCCCACAAUUUUUCUUCCUUCGGUUGCUGAAAUAAAUUUCCAUGAGGCUGGGACCCAUCUUUGUCUUCUUGAGAACUUUUUCCCUGAUGUUAUUAAGGUAUUUUGGAAAGAAAAGGAUGGUGAUGGGAUUCUGGAAGACCAGCAGGGAAACACUGUGAAGACUGAUGACACAUACAUGAAGAUGAGCUGGCUAACUGUGACUGGAGAGUCAAUGGAUAAAGAGCACAGGUGUAUCGUCAAACACGAGAAUAAUAAAGGUGGAGUUGAUCAAGAGAUUCUCUUUCCUGCUAUAAAUAAAGGUGUCACCAGGACUGAAGCUUGCUCUAAAGAUGAAAUCAAUACACUGAGGCUGCAGCUCACAAACACCUCUGCCUACUGGACCUUCCUCCUCCUGCUUCUCAAGAGUGUGGUCUACUUGGCCAUUGUCACCCUCCAUCUGUUAAGAAGAACAGCUGUCUGCAGCAAUCUGAAGAGCUCCUAACAGACAGCAGCACAACAGGAUAAUAUUGUGUUUUUUGUUUAUUGUCCCGGAAAGUGUCUGCUGAGGACCUGGCUGGGCUUGCUUGCUGAGCAUGGACUCAUUAAUUUCUUGUGUGUAUUAUUCUGUCCUCAUUGCAGAAGAUUUCAAAUUCAUCCAUGAACUCAGAAACUUCAUGCUGUAAUAACAAAGAGCAACCUAUUGUAACCCCUAGUGCCUCUGUCUCCAUAUUCUCCAUCAACUUCUCCAGACAUCCCAAAUCAUGGCAACCUUGUUGGGGACAGAGUGCCUCUUCUAGUCAUAGCCCUUAGUGCCCUUUAAGCAGAGCCCAUCUUUAAGAUGGUCUUCCAUUCUAAACACUCUAAAGCAGCUCUCUUUGCUACUUUAUUCUGUACUUUUCUUUUCACAACAGAUACAAUAAAUUUUUAAAUAUCAAAUGUC